GAGUUUGAUCGUGGCUCAGAUUGAACGCUGGCGGCAUGCCUUACACAUGCAAGUCGAACGGCAGCAUGAUCUAGCUUGCUAGAUUGAUGGCGAGUGGCGAACGGGUGAGUAAUACAUCGGAACGUGCCCUGUAGUGGGGGAUAACUAGUCGAAAGAUUAGCUAAUACCGCAUACGACCUGAGGGUGAAAGUGGGGGACCGCAAGGCCUCAUGCUAUAGGAGCGGCCGAUGGUCUGAUUAGCUAGUUGGUGGGGUAAAGGCCCACCAAGGCGACGAUCAGUAGCUGGUCUGAGAGGACGAUCAGCCACACUGGGACUGAGACACGGCCCAGACUCCUACGGGAGGCAGCAGUGGGGAAUUUUGGACAAUGGGCGAAAGCCUGAUCCAGCAAUGCCGCGUGUGUGAG
rnacentral:rRNA from 1 species